UGACAUUGCCUGAGGAAGGCUAGCCCGGGCAUGACCUAAUGGGGUCACUUCCCUCCCACCUCCAGGAGCAGCCUCUGACGCAGGCUUGAAAUCUGGGGCAGCAAGUGAGAACCAGUCACAGCUGGGGUUAUUCAUCUCCUUUGGAUGUAACUGAAAUCUCAUCUUGGAAAUCUUGGUCGUACAGGCAGUGGGCAGAAUGUAAAUAACCUACUUUGGAAAUCUGAUCUGCGUGCAGUGGGCAGCCUGCAAUUCAAGCUAUAUUUUGUGUGAGAAGAGAUGAGUCCCCAAAGCAGAACCAGCAAUGGAGCUGUCUUUUCCUCUGAAUGCCGGGAUUCCGUGGGCUCACAUCGGGGAGCAAGCACAAGAGGGCGUACACAGUGGAGCUAACAGGCCCAAAAGGGAAGCACAAAUUUUCUUCAAGCAGCUAUUUUGAGAGAGAAUAUAACUCUUCUCUUGUAUUUCUCAAGGGAUAUUAUGGGAAACCUAAUACAUAACUCACAAGUUACCAGAGUCACACGGAAGAUGCCGAAUCACCCCACUGCAGACAGGCAGCCACCUGGUUCCACACUACAAAGACGCAGAGGACAC
rnacentral:lncRNA from 1 species